UAGGGAAUCUUCGGCAAUGGGGGGAACCCUGACCGAGCAACGCCGCGUGAGUGAAGAAGGUUUUCGGAUCGUAAAGCUCUGUUGUUAAGGAAGAACGAGCGCGAGAAUGGAAAGUUCAUGCUGUGACGGUACUUAACCAGAAAGGGACGGCUAACUACGUGCCAGCAGCCGCGGUAAUACGUAGGUCCCGAGCGUUGUCCGGAUUUAUUGGGCGUAAAGCGAGCGCAGGCGGUUAGAAAAGUCUGAAGUGAAAGGCAGUGGCUCAACCAUUGUAGGCUUUGGAAACUGUUUAACUUGAGUGCAGAAGGGGAGGGUGGAAUUCCAUGUGUAGCGGUGAAAUGCGUAGAUAUAUGGAGGAACACCGGUGGCGAAAGCGGCUCUCUGGUCUGUAACUGACGCUGAGGCUCGAAAGCGUGGGGAGCGAACAGG
rnacentral:rRNA from 1 species